rnacentral:SRP_RNA from 1 species
UACUAGCCGGGGAGCCAGCGGUGCCCUGUACCCGCAAUCCGCUGCAGCGGGGGCGAACGCCCCGCGAGGGCGGCCGUAAUGCGGCAGCCGGCAUGCAGCUCCGUUGAAGAGCGGGUCCCGCGCAAUCAGACGCCGUGAACCAUGUCAGGUGGGGAACCAAGCAGCAUUAAGCGGAGGUUCUGAUGUGUUGCGGGCUUGCCUGCUCCGAGGCAGCAAGUGCCAAAGCGCGCAUGAAGGCUUGUUCGAA